AUGGCAUGCAGACAGCUGGGAAUUAAAAUUAGCACCUCACACCUAUCAAAUACAGGGCAACUGCAAAACUUCCAAGUCCCCUGCAACCAAUUCAGAAAUAUACAAUUAAGAAAUGUAUUAUAUUUCAGAAGCAAAGAUAAACUUUGCUGGCCACAUCAGCUUAAGAUUCAACAAGUGCAGAAAUAAGAGUGAUAGAUAAAAAAUAUAUGCAUAAAAUAAAAAAAUAAAAAGCGCUAUGUAGGCUACCUUUCAUGCAGAUAUGUUGUAAAUAAAAAUUGAACAUAAUAAUAACUGUGUGUUAUACUACAGACACAGAUCUAAAAAUAUUGCCUCGAAAGAUGAAAUACUGCAGGAGGUAUUGUUGCACAGCUAAAUAGGCCUAUACAGUUAUUGUACAGGUAAUAAUUGCACAGCUUAAGUUUUAUAUAAAAUUCUGAAAUCAAGAAUAGUCAGUGAUUGUUUAUGCAUCAUAUUUCCCGUGUUUUACUGUCAGGCACUGACUUAGUGUUUACAAUUCUGAAGUGUUCUGUAACAAUUUCAUAAGUGGCAGAGAAAAAUUGAAUGGCAACAUUUUCAGACCCCACCCAUGGACUGUAUCAGCUGCUGCUGUCUGGCAAGUGGUGCUGCAGCCUCAAGUCUCUGAGCAUCAUGCUUUGGGACAGUUUUUCUGCAAGACAACCAGGCUUAAGAAUGCUGGAAACUACUAACCUCCUAAUGCCUGUCUGCUUGUUGAUGUGAAAGGACUGAAUCUUGUGUCCUGAUAUGUCCUCUUUUGGCUUGGAUUUUAAGGGUGAAAUUGUCCUUUUUGUCUGUUUGAAAUGCUGCCCUGACAGUGGUUUUCUGUUAUCGUAUAUAUUGACCAUAGACUAUAUUGGCACAUGUCCACUUUAAAAACAUUGAAGACACAAAGUCAAUCUGUAUAUUCAACAAAAUUCAAGGCCCUCACUGUGAAAUCAUUAGGCCACUACACAAUUUUCUCGGUUGAUGGGGAAAACAGCCACACUAUGAAUAAAGCUUUACAAUGGGGUGCUAUAUUUUUUAAUUUACAAUAGGUGAACAAUGUGUGAAAGACUAGGAAUUUAUUCUGGGGCUCAACAGUUCAACCAAGGCUCUUGCAUAAACUUGAGCUUUGGUAAACUGGGGGUGAAGCAAUUGAAGACAUUAAAAUGCUUGAAACAUUAAACAACCGUGUAAGUGUAAACAAUCAUCGUAAUUGUUUUUCUAGUCUCUCUCUCUGUGCUUUAGGUAUCAAGAAAGUGCGCGCAGAUUCAAAUAAUUGAAUGUUGUACAAUCAUUGGACGAAUCGUACGGCAGAGGCAAUCUCGACCAAUAACAUCGCUUGACUUUGGGAGGGGGAUAUACGUCAUAACGUAAGAUCGCGCCAUACUGGCAGUGGCCAGAGUAGAGAGCCUUGAUAAAGUAUGGAACGUUUUCAGGAUAUUCAGCUUUCACUAAAGCGAAUUUUAGUUGAUGUGUCAAUGAAGAACAAAAGCUGGAAUGUGAAUAGAAGAAGGGGUCGUACGGGGUCUGUAAAAAUACUCAAGUGGUGCUCGCUGCAUAUCAGAUCAAGCAUUGGAAUAAGAUUUUUAUCGGGGGAGAACAACCAACAGAAAGACCCAUUCACCAACUAC